UUAACAAAAACAUGUCCUUUUGAAUAUUAUUUAAGGUCUAGUCUGCUCAAUGAUUAAUUUAAAUAGCCGCGAUAUUUUGAUCGUGCGAAGGUAGCAUAAUCAUUAGUUUAUUUAUUGUAAGCUGGAAUGAAUGACUGGACAAAGAUAUAUCUGUCUCAAUUGUAUUAAUAGAAUUUUCUUUUAAGUUAGAAAGCUUAAAUUUUAUUAAAAGACGAGAAGACCCUAUAGAGUUUUAUUAAAUAUUAUUCUUUUAAUUUAAGUUUUAUAAUUUUUUAUUAUUAAUAUUUAAUUUAGUUGGGGUGACGAUUGAAUUGAUUUAACUUCAUUAUUUUAUCAUAUUUGUUUAUAGGUUUUUGAUUUAUUAUUAAUAAAUGUAAGAUUAAAUUACCUUAGGGAUAACAGCGUUAUUCUUUUAGAGAGUUCAUAUCGAUAGAAGAGAUUGCGACCUCGAUGUUGGAUUAAAAUUAAAUUGGGGUGUAGCAGUUCCAAUAUUUAGUCUGUUCGACUAUUAAAAUUUUACAUGAUCUGAGUU
rnacentral:rRNA from 1 species